CGUGCCCUACGGGGCGCAGCAGUGAGGAAUAUUGGUCAAUGGGCGCAAGCCUGAACCAGCCAAGUCGCGUGAGGGAAGACGGCCCUACGGGUUGUAAACCUCUUUUGCCGGGGAGCAAGCCUGAGCACGUGUGCCCAGGCGGAGAGUACCCGGAGAAAAAGCAUCGGCUAACUCCGUGCCAGCAGCCGCGGUAAUACGGAGGAUGCGAGCGUUAUCCGGAUUUAUUGGGUUUAAAGGGUGCGCAGGCGGAAGAUCAAGUCAGCGGUAAAAUUGAGAGGCUCAACCUCUUCGAGCCGUUGAAACUG
rnacentral:rRNA from 1 species